AUUCUUCCUACGUACGUAACGUACCCACUAUAAUUUCAGUUCACUAAGUCCCUCCCACCCACCCACUCUAACCCUAGCCCCUUUCCCCCCUCAAACCCGUCGUAAUCCCUCUGCCGCCUGUCUGCUUCAAACCGCCGCCGCCUUCUUCCUCUGCCUGACGAGUAGUGUCAUCGCUACUACCCCCUCACUCUGCUCUCAUCAGUUUUUUUUUGCUCCGUCGUCGCGCCGCGUGCUCCCUACGCCGGAGCUAGGCCAAAAUUAGUGCUUCAAUUUAUGGGCAUCAAAGGGCUGAAUAUUGCUCAUGUCAAGAGCCAUUUGCAGACUCUUGCUGACCUUAUUAGCGAUGGAACUAUGACGGAUCUAGCAUAGGCCAAGCUCCCGGAGAGGACAUUGAAGUGAUCCUAUAGUAUGUUAAUAAUCUUUGAUUUUUUUUAAUUUUUUAUUUUUUGAAAAUAUUAUGUACUGAUAAAUUUAUUAGGCGAUGAAAUGAAACAGUCCCUAGCAUGGGCAAUUUUCUGGGAUUCAUUUAGAAGAAGCCAUUUCCAACAUCACAGUUCGAAUUAAACAAAGAGCAAAUUCAGGUAAACUUUUGUUUUCUUUGGAUAUUGAUGGUUUCCAUGUGUGAGGCAUAUUAGCCCAGGUGGCUUGGGGUGUUAGAAAAUAUGUUUUUAAAAAGAUAAUAAUCUAUGGAUUUUAAAAUUGGAAUGAUUUUCAUUGAUUUCGUUCAAAAAAUACACAUGAACAAAUCCGACCUCAAACCAUGAGAAUUCGAAAAUCUUCAAAUUAUCCAGCGCUGGCUGGGUUCCAGCGGACGCGGCUCAAGAAGCCAGCGCCCGCUGGCCAAGAAUAUAAAGUAAUAUUGGAGAGGGUGAAAAUAAAGAAAAUAUUAUUUUCGUAUGCUAAUUAAAAUGACCAAAUAUUUCAUUUCAUGUGCUAAUUAAAAUUCUGGACAAGCGCUACGCAUGCAUGUACCCAUACUUGUAUCUCUAUUAGUUGCACCUAGCGGUCGCUGACAAUAAUUUCGAGUAUCCAGCGAUCGCUGGGACUCGGUCCAGCGCUCACGGGCUUGCAACGACCGCUUAUUUUUUGAUUUCAAAUCUGGAAAAAUCACGAGCAAUUCUUGUUAAAAUCCGUCCAAAAUCUUUAUAGAUUCCUGUAGAAUUAUGAAGACUCUGUGUAAAAUCGGUAGAUUUCUAAAAUCCAGAAAUCCUGAACGAAUACACCCCUCUUAUUGCAAAAUUAAAUCCCUUCUUUUUUGAACACGUACCUUGUAAGUCAAAAUUGUAUUAGGCCUGUAUGCGAUCUGCUUGUAUGCCCCUGGCCCAAGGAUCGUCACAGUAUGUUUGGAAGGUCUUGAAAAGGAGUAAAUUGCAAAUAAUCAGUUGCAUCUUGGGGCACAACUUAUUGCUAUUAAGCAGCAAUUGAUAAUUUUUUCUAUCGCGAUCAUGUUUGAUUAGUUGAUAGAUUUCUACUUUACCUAUGUCAUACUUGGUAUUUUCAAUUUUAAAUCAAUUGAUGAUAUGUACUUGAUAUUUGGUACUUUGUUGUUAAUUUUAGGUAUGAAAUUUGUAUUACUUGCUACAAGAUUGUUAAUGAAAUAUUUUUAUUUUGAACGGAAUAAAAUUUAUUGUAUUUUAA